rnacentral:rRNA from 1 species
CUAAACGGCCACGGCACUAAAACCGUGCAAAGGUAGCACAAUCACUUGCCCCUUAAAUAGGGGCCCGUAUGAAAGGCAACAUGAGAGAAGACCUGUCUCCUAGGGCCAGCCAAUGAAAUUGAACUACCAGUACAAAAGCUGGUAUUCACAAGCAAGACAAAAAGACCCUGUGGAACUUUAACAAAUUGUUUAAACAAAUUGAACAAUAGUUUCAGUUGGGAAAACUUUAGAAAAAAUAAACUUCUUAAAUACCACAGACCAACAAGCCUAUAGCCAUCAAACCAUGACCCAGUUUUACUGAUUAACGAAACAAGCUACCCCAGGGAUAACAGCGCUACCUUCUCAAAGAGUCCUUAUCAACAAGAAGAUCUACGACCUCGAUGUUGGAUCAGGGUAUCCAGACGGUGCAGCAGCUGUCAAAGGUUCGUUUGUUCAACGACUAAGACCCUACGUG